GUAGGUGGCAAGCGUUGUCCGGAUUUACUGGGCGUAAAGGAUGCGUAGGCGGAUUUUUAAGUGAGAUGUGAAAUACCCGGGGGCUUAACUUGGGGUGCUGCAUUUCAAACUGGGAAUCUAGAGUGCGGGAGAGGAGAAUGGAAUUCCUAGUGUAGCGGUGAAAUGCGUAGAGAUUAGGAAGAACACCAGUGGCGAAGGCGAUUCUCUGGACCGUAACUGACGCUGAGGCAUGAAAGCGUGGGUAGCAAACAGGAUUAGAUACCCUGGUAGUCCACGCCGUAAACGAUGAGUACUAGGUGUAGGAGGUAUCGACUCCUUCUGUGCCGCAGUUAACACAAUAAGUACUCCGCCUGGGAAGUACGAUCGCAAGAUUA
rnacentral:rRNA from 1 species